rnacentral:rRNA from 1 species
UACGUAGGGGCCGAGCGUUGUCCGGAGUUAUUGGGCGUAAAGCGCGCGCAGGCGGCUUCGCGCGCCCGACGUGAAAGCCCCCGGCUUAACCGGGGAGAGUCGUUGGGGACGGCGGAGCUUGAGGGCGGGAGAGGUCGGUGGAAUUCCCGGUGUAGUGGUGAGAUGCGUAGAGAUCGGGAGGAACACCUGUGGCGAAGGCGGCCGACUGGGCCGACCCUGACGCUGAGGCGCGAAGGCGUGGGGAGCGAACGGG